UCAUGAUGAACGCUAGCUACAGGCUUAACACAUGCAAGUCGAGGGGCAUCAGGAAGAAAGCUUGCUUUCUUUGCUGGCGACCGGCGCACGGGUGAGUAACACGUAUCCAACCUGCCCUUUACUCGGGGAUAGCCUUUCGAAAGAAAGAUUAAUACCCGAUGGCAUAAUGAUUCCGCAUGGUUUCAUUAUUAAAGGAUUCCGGUAAAGGAUGGGGAUGCGUUCCAUUAGGUUGUUGGUGAGGUAACGGCUCACCAAGCCUUCGAUGGAUAGGGGUUCUGAGAGGAAGGUCCCCCACAUUGGAACUGAGACACGGUCCAAACUCCUACGGGAGGCAGCAGUGAGGAAUAUUGGUCAAUGGGCGCUAGCCUGAACCAGCCAAGUAGCGUGAAGGAUGAAGGCUCUAUGGGUCGUAAACUUCUUUUAUAUAAGAAUAAAGUGCAGUAUGUAUACUGUUUUGUAUGUAUUAUAUGAAUAAGGAUCGGCUAACUCCGUGCCAGCAGCCGCGGUAAUACGGAGGAUCCGAGCGUUAUCCGGAUUUAUUGGGUUUAAAGGGAGCGUAGGUGGACUGGUAAGUCAGUUGUGAAAGUUUGCGGCUCAACCGUAAAAUUGCAGUUGAUACUGUCAGUCUUGAGUACAGUAGAGGUGGGCGGAAUUCGUGGUGUAGCGGUGAAAUGCUUAGAUAUCACGAAGAACUCCGAUUGCGAAGGCAGCUCACUGGACUGCAACUGACACUGAUGCUCGAAAGUGUGGGUAUCAAACAGGAUUAGAUACCCUGGUAGUCCACACAGUAAACGAUGAAUACUCGCUGUUUGCGAUAUACAGUAAGCGGCCAAGCGAAAGCAUUAAGUAUUCCACCUGGGGAGUACGCCGGCAACGGUGAAACUCAAAGGAAUUGACGGGGGCCCGCACAAGCGGAGGAACAUGUGGUUUAAUUCGAUGAUACGCGAGGAACCUUACCCGGGCUUAAAUUGCAGUGGAAUGAUGUGGAAACAUGUCAGUGAGCAAUCACCGCUGUGAAGGUGCUGCAUGGUUGUCGUCAGCUCGUGCCGUGAGGUGUCGGCUUAAGUGCCAUAACGAGCGCAACCCUUAUCUUUAGUUACUAACAGGUUAUGCUGAGGACUCUAGAGAGACUGCCGUCGUAAGAUGUGAGGAAGGUGGGGAUGACGUCAAAUCAGCACGGCCCUUACGUCCGGGGCUACACACGUGUUACAAUGGGGGGUACAGAAGGCAGCUAGCGGGUGACCGUAUGCUAAUCCCAAAAGCCUCUCUCAGUUCGGAUCGAAGUCUGCAACCCGACUUCGUGAAGCUGGAUUCGCUAGUAAUCGCGCAUCAGCCACGGCGCGGUGAAUACGUUCCCGGGCCUUGUACACACCGCCCGUCAAGCCAUUGGAGCCGGGGGUACCUGAAGUACGUAACCGCAAGGAUCGUCCUAGGGUAAA
rnacentral:rRNA from 1 species